GGCGAGAUAGCUCAGUUGGCUAGAGCACUUGGUUCAUACCCAAUAGGUCGAGGGUUCGAAUCCCCCUCUCGCUACCA
rnacentral:tRNA from 1 species